rnacentral:rRNA from 1 species
UACGAAGGGGGCUAGCGUUGCUCGGAAUCACUGGGCGUAAAGGGUGCGUAGGCGGGUCUUUAAGUCAGGGGUGAAAUCCUGGAGCUCAACUCCAGAACUGCCUUGAUACUGAAGAUCUUGAGUUCGGGAGAGGUGAGUGGAACUGCGAGUGUAGAGGUGAAAUUCGUAGAUAUUCGCAAGAACACCAGUGGCGAAGGCGGCUCACUGGCCCGAUACUGACGCUGAGGCACGAAAGCGUGGGGAGCAAACAGGG